AGAUGACCACACUAACAGGAGAACGCAGAAUGCAGGAACUGAAGCCCGAAAGGCGAACAUGCUGAGUCUCAGCCUAGAGUGGAGAGCCCAGGGCGGGAAAGUUCCCGAGGGUCACAGCCCUCCGCGAGGUCUGCUCGGCGGAGCCCCGGCUGGAGCACCGGGGAUCAAGGAGGCCCGAAGCAGCGCAGGACAUCGCGUGGCCCCGGGAAGCCGCGGCCGCGCCGGGAGCCUCUCCGGGUUGCCGGCUGCCGAGUCAGCCGCUUCCUGCCGCGGGGUCCGGAGAGAGCCGCGCUCCGCGCCACCAGCCAGCCCGUCCGACCGACCGCCCGCCCGCCCGCCCGCCCAGGAUGCGCUCGCCUGCCAGGGAAGCGCUCACACCUCGCACAAAAGGCGCCGCGGCGGGACGGCGGGGAGUAGGCGACCGCUGCCUCCCGGAACUUUGCGGACAUCGCACCGCAGCUCCACAGCUCCGAGCCCCCGGCGCAGGAGGAGGCCGAGGCGGCGGCGGAGAGUCGGGGCAUCGCCCGGCAGUGCCUCCGCCUUGCCGGCUGCCGGCGGCUCCCGCCCCCGGUUAACCAGCGCUCGCUCUUAAAGGCGCCCGCUGCUGGUUAGGCCGCGAGGUAAGGAAGAGAGGAGUGGGGUGGAGGCAAGGAAAGGGGGAGGGGGCAGCUCAGACAGGCUCCCGGGAGUCUUCUGCAGUCUAAACUCAGACUCCUCUCGCUCCAGGUCCCCAGGUCACCCCACCCCCUAAAACGGGAGUUAAGUGCUCAGACCCUACACCAAAGAUGUGUAGCCACUGCUGGCUAGCUCAGGAAACCUCACAUUUGCUUGAACUGCCCACACCUCUGUUAAGAUCUUUAUCUUAACACCCCCCAUCCCUGCCUGGGCCACACUUACCAUAGAGCUAAAAUCGGCGCCCAAUGGGACCAUGCUUCCCUCCGCUGAUUGGGCAGCCUCCCGGGUGUUUCUUCAUUUCCAACACUGUGAGGAGGGGCUCAUCUGGAGCACUUCACAUUGAAGACCAGCUUGGACCCUUACCUGGACCGCUGAAGGAGUCGUGAACUAUAGUGGCAGACAUGCCUUGCUUUGACCCAUGCUCACCUGCCCGGUGGCUUCCACCUGGAUUGCUAGAACCACUGGCAUUCAUGAUCACCAAACUGGACUCAGGAAGAACCUGAAGGAAAGAUACCACCAUCAAAUCUCAGUUAUGGUGCUUUUGAAAUGUUGCUUCCAAGUGAUAAAUGACACUUACUGUUUUCCUAACCAUCGUCCACAUUUAUGGCAGAGUGGAGGGCCCAGGAGGCUCGGAGCACUAGCAGUUUUCCUGACUCCACAGCAGACCAGCAUCCAAAGCUGCUGUUGUAUCUGUUGGUUUCAAUCCUUGCUUCGCAGUCCUGUGGGACCACUCUAACGGAAAUGGAAAGGAAGAUGUUAGGCAAUUAGGGGGUAUGAUCCAGCCUGGGCUUCAAACAUCAGUCCCAGCAAAGGACUCUGAAGGUAUGAGUGACAUUUUCUAAUUCAAAGGAGCUUGCACCUUUUAGCCCUGGCUUCAACCAACUUGGUUCUUACCCUUAGGCCACUGUGGAGUACACGGCUGCUUGCAAGAGGUAGAAGCAAUUUGUGUUACCAGAUGGAGAGAAACUAAGCUCCAGGCUUUGGAGAAAAGAAAGCGGGAGGGAGGGCAAGGAAGGGGAGGAGAAGGGAGGAGAGAAGAGGGGAGGAGGAAAAGAAACAAGGAAGGCUCCGUCCUAGUGAAGAGAAUCCAUCAUAAAGCAGUUGGGAUGGCUGGAUCUAAUAACCAGGACUUAAUCCAAAGGGACUUAAGAAAAUCUGUAGUGAAGGCUGUGUAAUUUAUCGGCUCCUAUUUAUAAAGACUAGUAAUGACGUAGUCACCCCCUACCCCCAAAAAAAAAAAAAAUCUUUAAAUUUCCUUUUUAAAUUUUUUUCUGCUGGACUUAAAGACUCAGUUUCUCUCCACAUUUGCCUGUGUUUCCCUUGUACGGAUUCUGUUUUCUCUAAGCAGGAGCUAGAACUGUAACUUCGAAUGCACUUCCAUCCUCCUCAACAUGUGAUGUCUUCAGCAAGUGAGCAGGCCAAGGGGCAUUGGACCAAUGGAACCCUGUGCUUGACAUUUUAUUUAACUUUCCCCUUAACCUAUGGCACCUUUGCCAGCAAAUACACCAACCUGUACUCAUUGUUGGGCCUUCUAUUUUUAGGUCAUCGAUUCUCCUGCAUAACAGUCUAUAGGAAUUCUUUCCAAGUGCGUAGUCAUUAACUGGGGAAAAUGGGGUUCACAAAUAGUCACAAUUUCAGUGUCCCAAGGACACAGGGCCUAACUUCUUUUUUAUAACUUAAUAACUAUUCUGUCUUUUCAGAGCUAGAAUGGAGAAGUUGAUGUUUCCUACCCAAAGUACCAGCUUUCCCACUGGGAAGAUAGCUCAGUGGGUAAAGCUGAUUGCCACCCAAGUCCAAUGACCUGAGUUUGAGUCCCCAGGAUGAUGGACAAACUAACUCCCCCAAAUGGCUCUUUGACCACCACACAGCAGCCUCAACAUGAAUGAACCCCCCCACACACACACAUACACACACACAGAGAAUGUAAUAAAAUUAAAAUAUGUUAACUUCCGCUUGUUUCUUCCCACAUAGGAAACUUUCUAAUUGUCACAGAUCUAAACCAUUUCAUAUUUUUCUUUUCACUUGUAAGUGUUAUAGGAUUCCUGACAUAUCAUAUCUAUAACUCUAGAAGAGACUUUAGAACAACCUAAAACUUCCCUUUCAUUUAAGGAAUAAAGAAAUGAAAUUUCAACAUCUGACUUGCUGGGGCCACACAGCUGUUCUCAGCUUCAGUUGUGUGCCUGCUUCUAAAUGUACAGGAGCAGUGAUGGAGAAUAUGGCCACAGUCCCCAUGAAAGUAGAUUGAGCUGCGGAGAGAUGACCCUCCAGUGGGGGGGCGGGGGGAUCACAAAGCAUCAUGUGUCAUAUAAUUUGGUGUAAAAACAAAUGAUGAGGGGAGAUGGCUCUAUCAGUAAAGCACCUGCCAUGCAUACAUGAAUUCCAAUUCUUAGCCAGGCAUGGCAGAACCAACCCAGAACUCAGCAAUGGAGAGCAGAAAUAGGAGGACCUCUGGAGCUUGUCAGUGAGACAGUCUAAAGGAAUAGGUGAGCUCCAGGUUCCAUAGGAUAACCUAUCUAAAAAAUAUGGUGGGGAAUGAUUAAGAGUCCUGAUGUGACCUGGUCUCCUCAUGCACACAUGUGCACACACUCAGACAUGUUCACACACAUAUGAUAAGAAUAGGCCUCAAAGUAAGUGCUAGAGAUGGGAGUCAUCUUGAAAGUGCUUUUGGUUUGGGGUUGUUUGUUUGUUUGUUUGUUUGUUUGUUUGUUUUGCUUGUGUGUUUGUUUGUUUUUAAAGAAAGUAAAGACAUACAACGGCAAGAAACACUGAAGUAUAUACAUAAAUGGGAAAGCCUUGGUGGGGAAAAGGUAUUGCCUUUUGUUGGAAUAGAAAAGAGCCCUGGAUUUUCAUGGCUUAGAAAAAAGUCUCUAAUAGCCCCAAUAUCAUUUUGCUAUAUAUAAAUCUGUAUCAUUUUCUCUGUUUGUGUUAGAGGCAAAGUACAGAUCAGGAGUCUCACCUCCUAUAUGCACUAAGCAAGUGCUCUACCACACGGCUAAAUGCCUAGACUCUAUCAUUAUUGUUUUAAUUAGACAAAGUAAAAACCUGUGUACUCCUUUAAAACAUUUAUUCAUUUUUAGAUAUCACUUGUCAGUACUUUCCAUCAUGUAUGUUUGGAGUGAUGUAAUUGCUGUCUUACUUUCAGUCAUGUUCAAAGUAAGUUCAAAAAGCCUUGUUUCCGAACCCAAAUAGACUAGAUACUAAACUACUUUUCUGGCAAGAUAUUAAGCAAAUAGUGUCUUUCUAAAAAUCAGUUUCUCGCUAGGUAAGUCGGCACAUUGCUUUUGUGUGGGGGCUAAUGGAGGAGGAUCGUGAGUUCUAGGACAGCUGGAGCAACAUGCCAAGUCCCUGUCUCAAAGGAAGGAAAAGAAACCAGUUUCUACGUGUACCCAAGGUUUACAGCAUAGCGAGAUACACAUGGUAAGGCCUACAAAUGGUUCUUCAAAUUUGUAGAUAAAUUGAAAUUUCUCAGCUCUGACUACACAUUAGAAUCACCAUAUAGCUUGCUAAAAGUAGCACCUGGGACCCACCCUCAGGGAAGCCAGACAGAAAUGAAACGGAAGGUCCUCGGUGAUUCUGAUCGCCAUGACUGGGAGCCCCGGGAUGUCCACACAGCAGAGUUCGUGUAGACCUGGGUGGGAAGCAUGAUGGUAUGUGUGCUCUUUCUUCCAUACGCACAAUGAUCCUGACUGAUCUUUCUGGAUUCGCAGUGGUGCUAUAGAGCAUGGCAGGCAGGUGAUAGACUUCUAACUGCUUUCUGCUCUGCCUUGCCCCUGAAACAUUCCCAACUGUGGUGGAGACUGCAUGUGGUUUAUCUCAGUCGGCAGCACAGCCUGAUUCCUAAGUCAUACUCUCUCCUGUGCCUUUCUGCACGCGCAAUGUAUAGGCAGUCAUCAGCACACGGCAGUCUCUGGACAAGUGAGAAGGGAAGAAAACACCACCGAAGAGUUCCUCAAGAAGAGGUCUAGAAGCAAGAAGCAAGUGGUUUUGGAUCCCUGGAUAAUUAAAAAAAAAAAAUCACUCAUUAAAUUUUAGCUAUUUGGAUUCUGACAUUAGCAUGGUGUGUGUGUGUGUGUGUGUGUGUGUGUGUGUAUGUGUACUCAUAUUGCCCCUUCUAAAUAUAAUAGUGAUGUGCUUGUUGGAAAUUGUAUUAAUAUUAAUUCCUCUUAAAUGUGCAUAACGGUAUUAGUUACUUUUCUGCUGCUGUGCUAAAACACUUUAACCAGAAACAACUUAAGCAAUUUUUGGUGGUGAGGAGGGGGCUAUGGUUUCAGAGCGAGAGUCCAUGUUGCAGCAGAAAGCUGAAAGUCCACAGUCCACUUCAGAACAAGAGCAGAGAGGGCAAACUGGAAGUGGGCUAGCGCUGUAAACUCUCAAAUUCCACCCCUAGUGAUGAACUUCCUCCAGGAAGGCUGCACCUCCUAAAAUCCUAUAACCCUCCCAAACAGUACUACUAACUGGAGACACAUAUUCAAAUAUAUGAGCCUAUGAGGGACUGUGGACUUGCCCCAGCCAGCUAGGCUCAGUCUCCACUGAUCAAAGGGAAGGGCAAAUAUCUGAGUGAGGUACCCAGAGGACUCAAGAUUUUUGUGCUCAAGACUAGCACAAAGCAGCCACUUCUUACUUUCAUUAUUACAGCAAGCAAAAUAUGAGGUGAUGCUCAUAGUGUAAGCAACUACAAGUAUAGUUUGCAAUACACCUAGUGUUACAUCUUAUCAUCUCGGCCUUGUGAAGUCUUGCCCACAGAGAUGAUGAGGACGUGCCAGGAAAUUCCCUUUAUGCCCUUGCUUUCAAGUGAGCUUGUUUAUCAUAGUUUAUGCAUUUCUUUCUAAAAGGCCACCGUGUGAGAAGAACAUCCUGCCCUUGGCCCAUACAUGGUUCACAGUAAGUUCACACUGUUCUGCCAAUCACAUUGUGCCUAAUGGCUGCUGCUUUGAGAACUGUAUAAAGGCUCACCAGACAGGCUAUGAGUGGUUGUUCUUUCUCCAUGUGCAGGGCAACCCAACAUGUUGGAACAAUAAAUUCCUCUUGCUUUUUGCAUUGA